rnacentral:rRNA from 1 species
UAGUCCACGCCGUAAACGAUGAUAACUAGCUGUCCGAACCCACAGGGUUUGGGUGGCGCAGCUAACGCAUUAAGUUAUCCGCCUGGGGAGUACGGUCGCAAGAUUAAAACUCAAAGGAAUUGACGGGGGCUCGCACAAGUGGUGGAGCAUGCGGUUUAAUUCGAUGCUACGCGAAAAACCUUACCAACCCUUGACAUGGUGGUCGCGAGAGACAGAGAUGACUCUCUUCAGUUCGGCUGGACCACACACAGGUGUUGCAUGGCUGUCGUCAGCUCGUGUCGUGAGAUGUUGGGUUAAGUCCCGCAACGAGCGAAACCCUUAUCCUUAUUUGCCAGCGGUUCGGCCGGGGACUAUAAGGAAACUGCCGGUGAUAAACCGGAGGAAGGUGGGGACGAUGUCAAGUCAUCAUGGCCCUUAUGGGUUGGGCUACACGCGUGCUACAAUGGUGUCUACAGAGGGAAGCAAUACGGCAACGUGGAGCAAAUCCUUGAAAAGGCAUCUCAGUUCGGAUUGGU